GAAGAUCAUGAAUUCAUUUAGUCAAUAAGUGAAGGUGUGUGUGUGGUGGGUUUGUGAAUAAUUUUCUGUGAAAAAUGGCAGACAACGAACAGAAAGCGAUGCAGCUGAUGGCUGAAGCCGAAAAGAAGCUUAAUUCUUCGAAAGGAUUUUUCGGAUCGUUGUUUGGAGGCUCAUCGAAAUUAGAAGAGGCAGUUGAGUGUUAUCAAAGAGCUGCUAAUAUGUUCAAAAUGGCAAAGAAGUGGGGGCAAGCGGGAAAUGCGUUUUGUGAAGCUGCGAAUCUUCAUGCAAAGUCGGGCAGUCGGCAUGAUGCAGCCACUAACUUUGUUGAUGCUGCCAAUUGCUACAAAAAGUCGGAGCCAGAACGUGCUGUUGCAAGUCUAUUGAGGGCCAUUGAAAUUUACACUGAUAUGGGACGAUUUACAAUGGCUGCAAAACACCAUCAGUCAAUUGCAGAAUUAUAUGAAACAGAAAAUGUUGACCUGGAACGUGCUGUACAACACUAUGAACAAGCUGCAGACUAUUUCAGAGGAGAAGAAAGUAACUCUUCAGCCAACAAAUGCCUCUUGAAAGUUGCUCAUUAUGCAGCCCAGUUAGAAGAUUAUGAAAAAGCAAUUAAAAUAUAUGAACAGGUUGCAGCCACAUCACUCGAUAGUUCACUGCUGAAAUACAGUGCAAAAGAAUACUUUUUCCGUGCUGCACUUUGUCAUCUCUGUGUUGAUGUGCUCAAUGCACAGCAUGCUUUGGAACGUUACCAGUCCAUGUAUCCAGGCUUCCAGGAUUCUAGGGAAUAUAAACUUAUCAAGGUUUUAAUUGAUCACAUGGAGGAGCAGAAUGUUGAUGGUUUCACAGAAGCAGUGAAAGAUUAUGAUUCAAUUUCACGACUUGAUCAGUGGUACACCACUAUUCUGCUACGCAUAAAGAAACAGCUUUUGGAGAGUUUGUAGCAGCAGCUGAGUAUUCCAUUUUGAGGUGCUGUUAGGAGAAUCUGGGAAAGUAAACCCUGUAAAUUUUGUGUUCUGGCAAGAGCUUAUUUGAAGCUUUUUCCUUCAAUGCACCAAGAUAUUAAUUCAUUUACAUGAGGUGUUGAAUGGCUCCGAAGAUACUUUGGACUUUGCCAGCCUAAAUUGUCAUUUUGAAUUGAACAAAUGAGAGCAAGUUGGAUGGGAG
rnacentral:misc_RNA from 1 species